GGGAUCGAUAGACACGUCAACGAGGGCAGAAAGCGGGUCGGACCCAAUCCCAACCCCUAAUGGCACCACCAAUGGGCUGCACGCCGGUGAAGAUUCCGUCCAGACGCCGGCCGUGGACUCCACCGGAGCUUCGGCAGAGAACGAAUCCUUGAGGAAGAGGAGAGGUAGUGGUGUCCUACCCCUCGAGGUGGGUACUCGAGUAAUGUGCCGCUGGAGAGACGGCAAGUACCAUCCUGUUAAGGUCAUUGAACGCCGGAAAUUUCCAUGCGGCGGUGUUAAUGACUACGAAUACUAUGUUCAUUACACUGAAUUCAACCGGAGACUUGAUGAGUGGGUUAAACUUGAACAACUUGAUCUUAACUCAGUAGAGACCGUUGUGGAUGAGAAGGUCGAGGACAAGGUGACAAGUUUAAAAAUGACUCGCCACCAGAAACGGAAAAUUGACGAGACUCAUGUCGAGGGCCAUGAGGAGCUUGAUGCU
rnacentral:misc_RNA from 1 species